GCUUGUCUCAAAGAUUAAGCCAUGCAUGUUCAAGUAUAGCAAGUGUACAGUGAAACUGCGAAUGGCUCAUUAAAUCAGUUAUAAUUUAUUUGAUAGUGAAAUUGUACAUGGAUAACCGUGGCAAUUCUAGGGCUAAUACAUGCGUCAAUGGUCGGUCGACCAGUAUUUAUUAGAUACAAAGCCAGCCGUCAGGAUCAGGUGAAUCAUGAUAACUAGUCGAAUCGACAGGCCUUGUGCCGGCGAUGGCUCAUUCAAAUUUCUUCCCUAUCAACUUUCGAUGUUUGGGUAUUGGCCAAACAUGGUGGCAACGGGUAACGGAGGGUUAGGGCUCGACCCCGGAGAAGGAGCCUGAGAAACGGCUACUACAUCCAAGGAAGGCAGCAGGA
rnacentral:rRNA from 1 species